rnacentral:tRNA from 33 species
AGGCGCGUAGCUCAGCUGGUUAGAGCAUCACCUUGACAUGGUGGGGGUCGUUGGUUCGAGUCCAAUCGCGCCUACCA